UGUUCUCAUCCAAAUUGGCAUUAUCUAGAACCCACGGCUCAUAGCCUCAUCUCGGCAGAGAGAUCACCGUUCCUACCGUUUUUUCUUCGGCGAUGUGCAGGCGUCAAAGCCUGCACCUCAGUGUGGGACUCCGCAACCCCGAGCUCCAAUUCAAGUCUUUUUCGGGUCUCUCUCACUUGAACUCGCUCCUCUCCUUCGGCCUUUCUGGUUGAUUUUUCUGUGUCGAAUCCUAUGGAGGAGGAAGUGGAGGAUUUUGAGUUGGUGGAGCGAGAUGAGGCAGCAGAGGAGUAAAGAGUUGCUGGAGAGGAUGGCGGAGGACAACAAGAAGAUGGAAAAGAGUACUGAAGGUGCAUGACAUUUUGGGAAGGAAAAUUUGAUUCCGGAUGGAGCCUUCUCCCCGGAAUCCAAAUACUACUUUCUUCUAGGUAAUCCAAUUCCGACAAUAUCAGGAGAUGAAUUCUUGAUUUUAUGUGGGGCCCGCAGAACUGUUCAUUCCGCUUAAGUUGGUAAAUAGAGGAAUAAUUAGGAAUGAAGAAUGAUUCCCAUUCCGCCAUAUCCUUUCCCCCUAUGUAAGCACGCCAUUAGUGUGUUUGUUUUUAUUUGGUGUGUUUAUUUAAUUUUAUUUGGUGAGUUUUUUUUUAGUUCAUUUAGUGAA